rnacentral:rRNA from 1 species
CNUGGUCAUUUAGAGGAAGUAAAAGUCGUAGCAAGGUUUCCGUAGGUGAACCUGCGGAAGGAUCAUUACAGUAUUCUUUUUGCCAGCGCUUAAUUGCGCGGCGAAAAAACCUUACACACAGUGUUUUUUGUUAUUACAAGAACUUUUGCUUUGGUCUGGACUAGAAAUAGUUUGGGCCAGAGGUUACUGAACUAAACUUCAAUAUUUAUAUUGAAUUGUUAUUUAUUUAAUUGUCAAUUUGUUGAUUAAAUUCAAAAAAUCUUCAAAACUUUCAACAACGGAUCUCUUGGUUCUCGCAUCGAUGAAGAACGCAGCGAAAUGCGAUAAGUAAUAUGAAUUGCAGAUUUUCGUGAAUCAUCGAAUCUUUGAACGCACAUUGCGCCCUCUGGUAUUCCAGAGGGCAUGCCUGUUUGAGUGUCAUGAACUCUUCAACCCACCAGUUUCUAGUAGACUGCGUUGGUGUUUGGAUCUUGAGCGUUGCUAGUCUGACUAGCUCGUUCGUAAUAUAUUAGCAUCUCUAAUUCGAAUUCGGAUUGACUCAGUGUAAUAGACUAUUCGCUGAGGACACUUUUAUUAGUGGCCGUACUAGAACCAGUAGAAGCUUCCAACUAUUGUAGUCAACUUUAAUUUAGACCUCAGAUCAGGCAGGANGACCCGCUGAACUUAAGCAUNUCAAUAAGGNGGAGGAA